UGGAGGAUUAUAUAUGUCUGUGAUUUCAAUUUAGUAUAAACCAGAGUGCAUUGGAAGGCCUAGACAUGUAACUAAAGAAGAAUUAAUUAAUUAUAACAUCUGUGGUUAGCUUGUACUCAAGUUUCAGAUCCAGAACAAGUUAUUAGACGAUCACAAUACAGAAUCACAUAGAGUUUGAAAUGUAAGUUUAAUUUGUCGACUUAUUUAAAAAGAAUUUGGUAAAAAUAUAUACUAAGAUUAUUGAUCUCGAUGGUUUGCCAAAAAGAAGAAGAAGAAAAAGAGAAAAGAGAGGGGGGUGGUGACGGAGUUAUUGAUUGCGAUGAACAGCUUGUGGUAAGAUGAUGUUC
rnacentral:lncRNA from 1 species